UACGUAGGGUGCAAGCGUUUAAUCGGAAUUACUGGGCGUAAAGCGUGCGCAGGCGGUUCUAUAAGACAGAUGUGAAAUCCCCGGGCUCAACCUGGGAACUGCAUUUGUGACUGUAGAGCUGGAGUGCGGCAGAGGGGGAUGGAAUUCCGCGUGUAGCAGUGAAAUGCGUAGAUAUGCGGAGGAACACCGAUGGCGAAGGCAAUCCCCUGGGCCUGCACUGACGCUCAUGCACGAAAGCGUGGG
rnacentral:rRNA from 1 species